rnacentral:lncRNA from 1 species
UAAGCGCGGUUGUUGAUUGAUAGUAUUUAUUAUGGGUACAACCACUGUUGUGUUCUCUUUUAAUUAUCUUAAUAUUAAUUUAUUUUAAUUUUUAUUAAAACUAAUAUAGAAAACAUAUAAAUUUAGAUGCAACUUAGAAAAUGUAUCAUUUUUUUUAAGAAAUAAGAUCUCUUGCGGUAUUUAAAAAGUAUCGUAAGAUAUUGUGCUUAAUUAGAUGUCAUCCGUC